UACAGAGGUCUCAAGCGUUGUUCGGAUUCAUUGGGCAUAAAGGGUGCGUAGGCGGCGCGGUAAGUCGGGUGUGAAAUCUCGGGGCUUAACUCCGAAACUGCAUUCGAUACUGCCGUGCUUGAGGACUGGAGAGGAGACUGGAAUUUACGGUGUAGCAGUGAAAUGCGUAGAUAUCAAUUUGGAACGCCAAUGGUGAAAACAGGGUAGCCUGGGGCUGAUGCUGACACUGGAGACACGAAAGCCAGGGGAGCGAACGGG
rnacentral:rRNA from 1 species